UACGGGGGGGGGCAAGCGUUGUUCGGAAUUACUGGGCGUAAAGGGCUCGUAGGCGGCCAACUAAGUCGGAUGUGAAAUCCCCAGGCUUAACCUGGGAACUGCAUCCGAUACUGGAUGGCUUGAAUCCGGGAGAGGGAUGCAGAAUUCCAGGUGUAGCGGUGAAAUGCGUUAGAUAUCUGGAGGAAUACCGGUGGCGAAGGCGGCAUCCUGGACCGGCAUUGACGCUGAGUGAGCGAAAGCCAGGGGAGCAAACGGG
rnacentral:rRNA from 1 species